rnacentral:rRNA from 1 species
ACGGCUACCUUGUUACGACUUCAUCCCAGUCACCGAUCCCGCCUUCGGCAGCUCCCUCCCAUAGGGUUGGGCCACUGACUUCGGGCGUUACCGAUUUCCGUGAUGUGACGGGCGGUGUGUACAAGCCCCGGGAACGUAUUCACCGCGACAAUGCUGAUUCGCGAUUACUAGCGAUUCCGACUUCAUGGAGUCGAGUUGCAGACUCCAAUCCGGACUACGAGACGCUUUCUGAGAUUAGCUCCCCCUCGCGGGUUGGCGACCCUCUGUACGCCCCAUUGUAGCACGUGUGUAGCCCUACCCAUAAGGGCCAUGAUGACUUGACGUCGUCCCCGCCUUCCUCCGGUUUAUCACCGGCGGUCUCCUUAGAGUCCCCAACUUUACUUGCUGGUAACUAAGGACAAGGGUUGCGCUCGUUACGGGACUUAACCCAACAUCUCACAACACGAGCUGACGACAGCCAUGCAGCACCUGUCUCUGCGCUUCUUUCGACACUCUCAAAUCUCUUCGAGAUUCGCAGGAUGUCAAGGGUAGGUAAGGUUCUUCGCGUUGCAUCGAAUUAAACCACAUGCUCCACCGCUUGUGCGGGCCCCCGUCAAUUCCUUUGAGUUUCAACCUUGCGAUUGUACUUCCCAGGCGGAGAACUUAUCGCGCUAGCUUCGAUACCCAUGGAUCGCUCCACAAGCAUCUAGUUCUCAUCGU